UACAGAGGGUGCGAGCGUUAAUCGGAAUUACUGGGCGUAAAGCGCGCGUAGGCGGCUUUGCAAGUCGGGUGUGAAAUCCCCAGGCUCAACCUGGGAACUGCAUUCGAGACUGCAUUGCUAGAGUAUGGGAGAGGGAAGUGGAAUUUCCGGUGUAGCGGUGAAAUGCGUAGAUAUCGGAAGGAACAUCAGUGGCGAAAGCGACUUCCUGGACCAGUACCGACGUUCAGGCACGAAAGCGUGGGGAGCAAACAGG
rnacentral:rRNA from 1 species